GAUGAACGCUAGCGGGAGGCCUAACACAUGCAAGUCGAACGGGAUUGGGAGCUUGCUCCCAUGAGAGUGGCGCACGGGUGAGUAACGCGUAUGCAACCUACCUUUAACUGAGGGAUAGCCCAUAGAAAUGUGGAUUAAUACCUCAUAGUUCUAUUAGAUCGCAUGAUUUGAUAGAUAAAGCUCCGGCGGUUAAAGAUGGGCAUGCGUGACAUUAGUUUGUUGGUGAGGUAACGGCUCACCAAGACUACGAUGUCUAGGGGUUCUGAGAGGAUGAUCCCCCACACUGGUACUGAGACACGGACCAGACUCCUACGGGAGGCAGCAGUGAGGAAUAUUGGUCAAUGGGCGCAAGCCUGAACCAGCCAUCCCGUGUGAAGGAUGAAGGCCCUAUGGGUCGUAAACUUCUUUUAUACACCAAGAAAAACACCCACGUGUGGGUGCCCGACGGUAGUGUAUGAAUAAGCAUCGGCUAACUCCGUGCCAGCAGCCGCGGUAAUACGGAGGAUGCAAGCGUUAUCCGGAUUCAUUGGGUUUAAAGGGUGCGUAGGCGGCUUUUUAAGUCAGUGGUGAAAUCUUGCCGCUUAACGGUAAAAUUGCCAUUGAUACUGAUAAGCUUGAGUACAAUUGAGGUAAGCGGAAUGUGUAGUGUAGCGGUGAAAUGCUUAGAUAUUACACAGAACACCGAUUGCGAAGGCAGCUUACUAAACUGUUACUGACGCUGAUGCACGAAAGCGUGGGGAGCGAACAGGAUUAGAUACCCUGGUAGUCCACGCCGUAAACGAUGAUCACUCGCUGUAUGCGAUACACAGUAUGCGGCCAAGCGAAAGCAUUAAGUGAUCCACCUGGGGAGUACGAUCGCAAGGUUG
rnacentral:rRNA from 1 species